rnacentral:rRNA from 1 species
GACGAACGCUGGCGGCGUGCUUAACACAUGCAAGUCGAACGGAAAGGCCCUGCUUUUGUGGAGUGCUCGAGUGGCGAACGGGUGAGUAACACGUGAGUAACCUGCCCUUGACUUUGGGAUAACUUCAGGAAACUGGGGCUAAUACCGGAUAGGAGCUCCUGCUGCAUGGUGGGGGUUGGAAAGUUUCGGCGGUUGGGGAUGGACUCGCGGCUUAUCAGCUUGUUGGUGGGGCAGUGGCUUACCAAGGCUUUGACGGGUAGCCGGCCUGAGAGGGUGACCGGCCACAUUGGGACUGAGAUACGGCCCAGACUCCUACGGGAGGCAGCAGUGGGGAAUAUUGCACAAUGGGCGGAAGCCUGAUGCAGCAACGCCGCGUGCGGGAUGACGGCCUUCGGGUUGUAAACCGCUUUCGCCUGUGACGAAGCGUGAGUGACGGUAAUGGGUAAAGAAGCACCGGCUAACUACGUG